rnacentral:rRNA from 1 species
GCGUUGUUCGGAUUUACUGGGCGUAAAGGGCGCGUAGGCGGCGCAACAAGUCAGUUGUGAAAUCUCUGAGCUUAACUCAGAGCGGUCAACUGAUACUGUCGUGCUAGAGUGCAGAAGGGGCAACUGGAAUUCUCGGUGUAGCGGUGAAAUGCGUAGAUAUCGAGAGGAACACCUGCGGCGAAGGCGGGUUGCUGGGCUGACACUGACGCUGAGGCGCGAAAGCUAG